rnacentral:rRNA from 1 species
UUACUGCGAAGGGGGGACGGAGAAGGCUAUGUUGGCCGGGCGACGGUUGUCCCGGUUUAAGCGUGUAGGCUGGUUUUCCAGGCAAAUCCGGAAAAUCAAGGCUGAGGCGUGAUGACGAGGCACUACGGUGCUGAAGCAACAAAUGCCCUGCUUCCAGGAAAAGCCUCUAAGCAUCAGGUAACAUCAAAUCGUACCCCAAACCGACACAGGUGGUCAGGUAGAGAAUACCAAGGCGCUUGAGAGAACUCGGGUGAAGGAACUAGGCAAAAUGGUGCCGUAACUUCGGGAGAAGGCACGCUGAUAUGUAGGUGAAGCGACUUGCUCGUGGAGCUGAAAUCAGUCGAAGAUACCAGCUGGCUGCAACUGUUUAUUAAAAACACAGCACUGUGCAAACACGAAAGUGGACGUAUACGGUGUGACGCCUGCCCGGUGCCGGAAGGUUAAUUGAUGGGGUUAGCGCAAGCGAAGCUCUUGAUCGAAGCCCCGGUAAACGGCGGCCGUAACUAUAACGGUCCUAAGGUAGCGAAAUUCCUUGUCGGGUAAGUUCCGACCUGCACGAAUGGCGUAAUGAUGGCCAGGCUGUCUCCACCCGAGACUCAGUGAAAUUGAACUCGCUGUGAAGAUGCAGUGUACCCGCGGCAAGACGGAAAGACCCCGUGAACCUUUACUAUAGCUUGACACUGAACAUUGAGCCUUGAUGUGUAGGAUAGGUGGGAGGCUUUGAAGUGUGGACGCCAGUCUGCAUGGAGCCGACCUUGAAAUACCACCCUUUAAUGUUUGAUGUUCUAACGUUGACCCGUAAUCCGGGUUGCGGACAGUGUCUGGUGGGUAGUUUGACUGGGGCGGUCUCCUCCUAAAGAGUAACGGAGGAGCACGAAGGUUGGCUAAUCCUGGUCGGACAUCAGGAGGUUAGUGCAAUGGCAUAAGCCAGCUUGACUGCGAGCGUGACGGCGCGAGCAGGUGCGAAAGCAGGUCAUAGUGAUCCGGUGGUUCUGAAUGGAAGGGCCAUCGCUCAACGGAUAAAAGGUACUCCGGGGAUAACAGGCUGAUACCGCCCAAGAGUUCAUAUCGACGGCGGUGUUUGGCACCUCGAUGUCGGCUCAUCACAUCCUGGGGCUGAAGUAGGUCCCAAGGGUAUGGCUGUUCGCCAUUUAAAGUGGUACGCGAGCUGGGUUUAGAACGUCGUGAGACAGUUCGGUCCCUAUCUGCCGUGGGCGCUGGAGAACUGAGGGGGGCUGCUCCUAGUACGAGAGGACCGGAGUGGACGCAUCACUGGUGUUCGGGUUGUCAUGCCAAUGGCACUGCCCGGUAGCUAAAUGCGGAAGAGAUAAGUGCUGAA